GAUGAACGCUGGCGGCGUGCCUAAUACAUGCAAGUCGAGCGAACAGACGAGGAGCUUGCUCCUCUGACGUUAGCGGCGGACGGGUGAGUAACACGUGGAUAACCUACCUAUAAGACUGGGAUAACUUCGGGAAACCGGAGCUAAUACCGGAUAAUAUAUUGAACCGCAUGGUUCAAUAGUGAAAGCCGGUUUUGCUGUCACUUAUAGAUGGAUCCGCGCCGCAUUAGCUAGUUGGUAAGGUAACGGCUUACCAAGGCAACGAUGCGUAGCCGACCUGAGAGGGUGAUCGGCCACACUGGGACUGAGACACGGUCCAGACUCCUACGGGAGGCAGCAGUAGGGAAUCUUCCGCAAUGGGCGAAAGCCUGACGGAGCAACGCCGCGUGAGUGAUGAAGGUCUUCGGAUCGUAAAACUCUGUUAUUAGGGAAGAACAAAUGUGUAAGUAACUAUGCACGUCUUGACGGUACCUAAUCAGAAAGCCACGGCUAACUACGUG
rnacentral:rRNA from 1 species